rnacentral:rRNA from 1 species
UACGUAGGGUGCGAGCGUUAAUCGGAAUUACUGGGCGUAAAGCGUGCGCAGGCGGUUUUGCAAGCCGGAUGUGAAAUCCCCGGGCUCAACCUGGGAAUGGCAUUUGGGACUGCAAGGCUCGAGUGCGGCAGAGGAGACUGGAAUUCCUGGUGUAGCAGUGAAAUGCGUAGAUAUCAGGAGGAACACCGAUGGCGAAGGCAGGUCUCUGGGCUGACACUGACGCUCAUGCACGAAAGCGUGGGGAGCAAACAGG